GUUCUACAUUUGUAUCGUUCGGGGACGGAUUAUGCCGGAAAGCCGAGAAGAGUGUAAACUAUUUAAGACGACGUGCAGACGUCAUUAAAACGUGUUAUUCGUGUGUAAUGAUUAUACAGGGUAUGUUCAAGCCGAGAGUCGCAUCGACAAUCCUAGUCGACUAGCUCUGGUCAGCGAGACGCUGUUCCUCUCUGUAUUGUCCUUCCAUUCCGAUACAGAUUAAGAGGAGCCACUGAACUUAAUCAGAAUGAUUAACGAUGAUUAAUGCCGAUAUCCCUGCUUGGAUCUUAAUUGGAUCUGGAUUUCAACGUUCAGUUCAGAUCGAUCAACCUCUGAACAAUUUAUCGAUUCUCUUUGCGUUAGAGUGCUAUCUAGGAUACAUCUGGGCAAAGAAAGCAACAUCGCUGAUUAAUUCGUUCAGCUUUAUCCCAGACUGCACCAGCAACGUGGAGUUAAUAAAUCCUGUUGGCCUGACACGUUGUUCUUCCUAGUGCGGAUCGAUCUGAACCCGCUACUGCGAUAAUCCGCAUUGUAGAAGUAACGUAGGAAGGAGAAAAAUGAUUGAUCAGUUACAUUAAAUAGUUAGCUAGCUUUGUGUCAAUUAAUCAGGAUUAGCAUCAACUGAUGAUGAUGAUGAUGACAAAUCAAUGACAAAUUAAUGCAAUCAUCAUUAGAGCUGUCGAUCCUAGAUUCGCACGUUUGUUUUCAGGGGCAUGAAUAAUAAAACGGUAUCAAUGAAUUCCAUUUCUUGAGGGUCUCAUCAUCGGAAUGUCCGGGGAACACUCCGAACGCUACUCGCGCGACGCUUACAUGUGAACAUAGAGUACAAAAGCGUUUCGAAAUUUCCGACACGCGCGAUUUGGCUACACCCGCCCCCGCAAUGCGCUAUUCAACGUACAUUAUAUAAGUGAAGUUUACAUCUUCGUUUGCAGCCAGAAACGCCCCACAUGUAUUUUAUUUUCGCAUAAAGGUCACUUCCCGCGAUUAAAUCGAUAAAGCAUCACAUCAUAAAUUCUCAUCGAGUUCGAAUUUAGUAUUUUCUUUUUCUUUUCAUACAUAUCACACAUUCACCUUAGACGUAUGCGUGUCGCAACGUUCUCUCAUUAUACUCACACCCUAAAUUAUCUCUUUUUUUUCUUUUUCCCUAAGUUCCUUUUGACAUCGAUAAAAAAUUAUAUGUAUAUAUAUGUAUAUUUAUAUAUUUUUUUUCAUAUAUAUCUCAAUAAUUAUUUUAUCAUUAAUUAAUUGUUCAAUUAAUUAAUUAAUCGUCAUAUCUUAUUGUUCCACUAAAGAUUAAACUAAAGUGUUCUGUGUGCAUAUCUCUGGCAAGUACCACUCAAAUAUAUAUACAUACAUAUACAUAUAUGUAUAUAUAUAUAUAAAUUGUAUACAUAUACAUAUGUAUAUGCAUAAAUAUAUAUAUAUAUAUAUAUACAUAUAUAUAUAGUUAAUAAAAGUAUUAUUUACUUAUAUUUAUCUAUAUUUCCUAGUUUUUUAUAAGUAGAAUCAUGAAUAACUCACAACAUGUGUCUAACUACACUUUUUUGAGAUUAAUUGGGUAAUCCGUGCAAAUAAGACAUUAAUUGUUCCUAUUGUAUCGAUAAAUCGUUUAUCGCGCAAGGUAAACCGUCAGACUUCUUUUUUUUAACGGAUUGCAAAUACUCUCGAUUAUUGUAAUUCACACACGUAAA